UACGGGGGGGGCAAGCGUUGUUCGGAAUUACUGGGCGUAAAGGGCUCGUAGGCGGCCAACUAAGUCAGACGUGAAAUCCCUCGGCUUAACCGGGGAACUGCGUCUGAUACUGGAUGGCUUGAGAUUGGGAGAGGGAUGCGGAAUUCCAGGUGUAGCGGUGAAAUGCGUAGAUAUCAGGAGGAACACCAAUGGCGAAGGCAGCUCGCUGGGACGGUACUGACGCUGAGACGCGAAAGCGUGGGGAGCAAACAGG
rnacentral:rRNA from 1 species